CUACGGGUCGCUGCAGUGAGGAAUAUUGCACAAUGGGGGGAACCCUGAUGCAGCAACGCCGCGUGGAGGAUGACGCAUUUCGGUGUGUAAACUCCUUUUAUAUGUCAAGAAAAUGACGGUAGCAUAUGAAUAAGCACCGGCUAACUCCGUGCCAGGCAGCCGCGGUAAUACGGAGGGUGCAAGCGUUACUCGGCAUCACUGGGCGUAAAGGACGCGUAGGCGGGUUGGAAAGUCAGGUGUGAAAUCCUACAGCUUAACUGUCGAACUGCACUUGAAACUUCUAAUCUAGAGUAUGGGAGGGGGAGAUGGAAUUAGUGGUGUAGGGGUAAAAUCCGUAGAUAUCACUAGGAAUACCUAAAGCGAAGGCGAUCUCCUGGAACAUUACUGACGCUAAGGCGUGAAAGCGUGGGGAGCAAACAGGAUUAGAUACCCUUGUAGUC
rnacentral:rRNA from 1 species